rnacentral:rRNA from 1 species
AUGGCGCACACCGCAGCCGCAGUCGCCGCGCUAGGCCUCACUAAGCCCAACGUCGUCGAGCCACUCCAGGUCUCUUUCGCCGCCAUAGGCAUCGAGCCAUCCGAUUGGGAGGGAGAUGUGCUGGCCGUCGCGGUCACGGAGAAGGACGUGUGCAGAAGCCCAGGCUCCAGCUUCGAGAACGCCGUCCUGAAGCGGCUGGACAGCCAGCUCGGCGGCCUGCUGUCGGAGGCCUCGGCGGAGGAGGACUUCGCCGGGAAAGCCGGUCAAUUGGUGGUCCUCCGCCUCCAGGGGCAGGGCUUCAAGCGUCUGGGCCUGAUCGGCCUUGGCCGGAGCGCCCCGUCCACCGCAGCGGCCUGUCGAGGCCUCGAAGAAUCCUUCGCGUCGGUCGCCAAGUCCGCUCGAGCCGGCAGCACAGCUCUUGCUCUCGCCUCCCCCGGCGGGAUCCAUGAGGAGUUCAAGCCUGAUGCGGCCGCGGCAAUCGCUUCCGGAACUGUGCUCGGACUGUACGAGGACAACAGAUACAGAUCUGAGUCCAACAAGGUGCAUCUCAAACAAGUAGAUCUCAUUGGAUUGGGAUAUGGUCCUGAGAUGGACCAUAGACUUGAACUAGCCAAACAUGUUUCCUCAGGCGUGAUAUUCGGAAAAGACCUUGUGAACUCACCUGCCAAUGUGCUUACCCCCGUAGUGCUCGCGGAGGAGGCGUCGAAGAUUGCUUCGAUGUACAGUGAUGUAUUCACUGCCACGAUAUUAAACGAGGAGAGAUGCAGAGAGCUGAAGAUGGGCUCCUACUUGGCUGUCGCCGCGGCUUCUGCAAAUCCUCCUCGCUUUAUCCACUUGUGCUAUAAACCUUCUGGUGGAAAUGUCAAGAGAAAGCUAGCUAUUGUGGGGAAGGGUGUAACCUUUGACAGUGGUGGAUACAACAUUAAGAUUGGAGCAGUUUGCAAUAUUGAACUGAUGAAGUGGGACAUGGGGGGCUCUGCAGCAGUAUUUGGUGCAGCAAAAGCCCUGGGCCAAAUCAAGCCUCCUGGAGUAGAGGUCCAUUUUAUUGUUGCUGCCUGUGAAAACAUGAUUAGUGGGACAGGCAUGAGGCCUGGCGACAUUGUGACUGCUUCUAACGGCAAGACGAUCGAGGCAUAUAACACUGAUGCAGAGGGGAGGCUCACACUUGCUGAUGCUUUGGUCUAUGCUUGUAAACAAGGUGUUGACAAGAUUAUAGAUCUGGCAACGCUAACUGGUUUCUGCCGUGUUGCACUUGGCCCAAGCAUUGCCGGGAUUCUGACACCGAGUGAUGAACUCCAUGAGGAAGUGGCCGCUGCAUCCGAGGUGUCGGGAGAGAAGUUCUGGAGGCUGCCACUAGAAGAAAGCUACUGGGAGACGAUGAAGUCUGGUGUUGCUGAUAUGCUCAACACCGGCGCUAUUCCACAGGGCGGCGUCAUCACCGCUGCGCUAUUCCUGAAGCAGUUCAGUGGAUGCACAUGGACAUUGCUGGGCCGGUGUGGAGCCACAAGAACCGGUCGGCGACCGGGUUUGGCGUCUCCACCAUGGUGGAAUGGGUUCUCAAGAACUCGUCGUGAAUCAACGAAGAUGAAGCCGCGCAAGGGGGGAGAGGAACUUGUCUGA